rnacentral:rRNA from 1 species
GAUGAACGCUGGCGGCGUGCUUAAUACAUGCAAGUCGAGCGGACGGACGCUGAUCUUGCGUCUCGCACGUGAGCCGCGCGCGGGUGAGUAACGCGUGUAUCACCUCCCUAUCAUAGUGGUAUCACUUCGGGAAACGGGAUCUUAUAGCAUAGAAGAUCCUGCAGCGCAUGGGGCAAUGGUAAGAUUCGGCGGUUGGGGAUGGACUAGAGGCGUCUCAGCUUGAUGGUGGGGUAGUGGCAUUACAAGGCUUGGACGGGUAGCCAGCCUGAGAGGGGUAACGGCCACAUUGGGACUGAGAGACGGCCCAGACUGCUACGGUAGGCAGCAGUGGGGAAUAUUGCACAAUGGGCGGAAGCCUGAUGCAGCAACGCCGCGUGCGGGAUGACGGUCUUCGGGUUGUAAACCGCGUUCGCCUGUGACGAAGCGUGAGUGACGGUAAUGGGUAAAGAAGCACCGGCUAACUACGUG